AGCUUGCUUCUCUUGAGAGCGGCGGACGGGUGAGUAAUGCCUAGGAAUCUGCCUGGUAGUGGGGGAUAACGUUCGGAAACGGACGCUAAUACCGCAUACGUCCUACGGGAGAAAGCAGGGGACCUUCGGGCCUUGCGCUAUCAGAUGAGCCUAGGUCGGAUUAGCUAGUUGGUGGGGUAAUGGCUCACCAAGGCGACGAUCCGUAACUGGUCUGAGAGGAUGAUCAGUCACACUGGAACUGAGACACGGUCCAGACUCCUACGGGAGGCAGCAGUGGGGAAUAUUGGACAAUGGGCGAAAGCCUGAUCCAGCCAUGCCGCGUGUGUGAAGAAGGUCUUCGGAUUGUAAAGCACUUUAAGUUGGGAGGAAGGGUUGUAGAUUAAUACUCUGCAAUUUUGACGUUACCGACAGAAUAAGCACCGGCUAACUCUGUGCCAGCAGCCGCGGUAAUACAGAGGGUGCAAGCGUUAAUCGGAAUUACUGGGCGUAAAGCGCGCGUAGGUGGUUUGUUAAGUUGGAUGUGAAAAUCCCCGGGCU
rnacentral:rRNA from 1 species